UACGUAGGGUGCGAGCGUUAAUCGGAAUUACUGGGCGUAAAGCGUGCGCAGGCGGUUUUGUAAGCCAGAUGUGAAAUCCCCGGGCUCAACCUGGGAACUGCAUUUGGGACUGCAAGGCUUGAGUACGGCAGAGGGGGGUAGAAUUCCUGGUGUAGCAGUGAAAUGCGUAGAUAUCAGGAGGAAUACCGAUGGCGAAGGCAGCUCGCUGGGACGGUACUGACGCUGAGACGCGAAAGCGUGGGGAGCAAACAGG
rnacentral:rRNA from 1 species